UACAGAGGUCUCAAGCGUUGUUCGGAUUCAUUGGGCGUAAAGAGCUCGUAGGCGGCUGCUCAAGUCGAAUGUGAAAACUCGAGGCUCAACCUCGAGCCUGCAUUCGAUACUGGACGGCUAGAGUCUGGUAGGGGGGAUCUGGAAUUCCUGGUGUAGCGGUGGAAUGCGCAGAUAUCAGGAGGAACACCGGUGGCGAAGGCGGGAUCCUGGGCCAGUACUGACGCUGAGGAGCGAAAGCGUGGGGAG
rnacentral:rRNA from 1 species